CUCUGGGUAAGAAAAGAUGGAAAAGACAAAGGUAGAAAAAUGAGACAAUUUCCAAUUGAAAUGACACAAUCUGGUCGUCUUCUGAGGUCGAUGAACUCUGCGGUCACAGCUGGUUGAGUCUGCAGACAAAAUCAAUUCAUUACAGAAAAAUUAAUUAUGUUCUGGUUUUUAUUUUGCAGCAGGAUCUGGUGCAUCGACUAACGUGCGACCCUCGCCUGAACCUAAAUCAGCCUCUUCGACCAUUUCAUCCUGCAGACCAGUUCACCUACAGAUUAGAACACAGGAAGCCGCUGGAGCCAAAACUCCACUUCCAGGGUCAAGUCCCCUAGUCACCCGAUUGUUACCGAGCUGAUUCUGAUCACAGGUGAAGCGACGCGGAGGACAGUUCAAUUAAUCACAGUUAUCUCAGGAGCAGAGGCGAUACGUCUCUGAACUCCAGUCAGAUGGUCAUAAAUCUCAUCUCUCUGCUUUCUCCCUACAUCUGGAUCUGAUUCAAUCCAAAAUAAAAAGAAAGACAACAGCUGGGGAGGAAACUCAUUCAUCUAAUGCUUCCGAAUGAAUCAGGAAGCUGCGGUGUCCUUCGUGAGCUUCACCUACGGAUGUUCCUGAGAUCCAGACGGAAACCGUCGCCUGAAGCUUUUCUCAUUACGCCGCGUCUCCAACCUUCAGCGACUCCAAGAGUUUUCUUUUCCUCUCUCACCACAACUGACAGAAGAGCCUUUACAUUUUUAUGAUGGGGAUUUCUCCAUAACAUUAACAGUUCAUUGAUUGUUUUGUUUUUUGUUUUUUGCCUUGGGGUUUGUUUUGGUUUUUAUCAUUUCUGACACUCAGACACAUCAUUUUUAUUGCUAUUGUAAUGAAUAAACUAGAAACAAUUACGUAUUAUUGCCUACAAAAACGUGUUUGUCUGUAGCGUUAGCAGGAUAUCUCACAAAUGCCUGAAACUAGGGCUGGGCAAUAUAUCGAAAAUUUAUCGUUAUCGAAACUUCUGACU